GCAGGUUGUCGGUUUGGGCUGAUUCAUCUUGCCAAGGUGAGGGUCGCCAGUUCGAAUCUGGUCGCCCGCU
rnacentral:tRNA from 1 species